CCCUUGGCCGCCCAGACAUUCUCCUCGUGUCCGGAGGCGUCAUCCCUCCCCAGGAUUAUGACUUCUUGUAUGCCUCUGGUGUUUCCAAAAUAUUUGGCCCUGGAACCCGAAUCCCAAAAGCAGCUGUCCAGGUUCUUGAUAUCGAGAAAUGCUUGGAAAUGAGGCAGCAAUCUCUGUAAACCUCUGUCUCAUAACAAACUUUAUAUCUUAUAGUUUGUGUUGAUGCAUUGUGAUUUGUUGAUAAAAUUGUUAAAUCAUCUACAA